GUCGGGAAUAUUGCGCAAUGGAGGAAACUCUGACGCAGUGACGCCGCGUGCAGGAAGAAGGUUUUCGGAUUGUAAACUGCUUUAGAUAGGGAAGAAAAAAAUGACAGUACCUAUAGAAUAAGCUCCGGCUAACUACGUGCCAGCAGCCGCGGUAAUACGUAGGGAGCGAGCGUUAUCCGGAUUUAUUGGGUGUAAAGAGUGCGUAGAUGGAUAAACAAGUUGGUUGUGAAAUCCCUCGGCUUAACUGAGGAACUGCAACCAAAACUGUAUAUCUUGAGUACUGGAGGGGAAAGCGGAAUUCCUAGUGUAGCGGUGAAAUGCGUAGAUAUUAGGAAGAACACCGGUGGCGAAGGCGGCUUUCUGGACAGAAACUGACAUUGAGGCACGAAAGUGUGGGGAGCAAACAGGA
rnacentral:rRNA from 1 species